rnacentral:lncRNA from 1 species
CUGAAUGGUUUUUGAACAAGGGACCCAGCAUUCUCAUUUUGCGCUGGACCCCACAGAUUAUGUCGCCAUGCUGUGAGUAGGAGACCAUCAGGCAGAGAAGAAGGGGUACUUUGGAAGCAAAAGCGCCCUGAGUGCACCGAGGUGUGCUGGAGCUCGAAACGCAGCCUGCUCCGGGAGCAGUCAGCGGAGGCACAGAGUCUCCAGUGGAAAGUUGUGUCCAGGAAACUGGUGGAAGCUCAAAGCGGAAAGCAGUCAGAGGCCCCCCCCAACCUGACGCGGGGGUCUGGACCUUACACGGCGGGUGCCCAGGAGCCUUCCAAACUUUGUCAAUCCGGGAGUGGUGACAUCAGAGGUGUUGGUGCAUAAAGACUCAGGAAGUUUCCUGGCAGAAAUGUGAGACUUGAGAAACUGAACUGUGAAUGGUUCCCUUUAUGAACAGCCAAUGAUUGACAGAAUGACUUUUAAUAGCUAUUAUGAGUUGAGCCCUUCCUAUGGGCUCAGCCCUACACCCCGCACGUGGAAUGGAUGGUCUUGUUUAAACCCGGCAACAGCUUUAUGAGGUGGGUACAAAUGUC